AGUCUCACUCAUGCCCUCUCCCUCUAGUGUGGGAAAACAAGAGGAACCUCCAAAAUUUCCUAGCUGCACAAAGAAAUUGGAAGAAAAACAAGAAGUUUCCUUCCGCAAACUUCCUAAAAGGUGCCAUGUGUUUUCCUAAAACCAAGGAAAAUUCUAAAAUAGAACUACCAUAUGAUUCAGCAAUCCCACUUCUCUAAAUCUCCAGAAUCUCCAGGGAUUGGAACCAAGUGCUUUAUCUUUACCAUAUACCAAUCCAUGAAUCAACUCCAAAACAGAUCUCUAGAAACAGACAAGACUGACUACUGCCUGAAGGUUUCUGACACCAAGUUCCUGAGAUGUACCAAAUAUGAAAUAAUUUUAGAAUUCGAUCUCAAAUGGCCCUUUUGCAAACUCCAAAAUGUUGUGUACAUGGAACAGAGGCUGUUAGGAAAUUUGCCUUGCAACUAAAAUUUAAGCAAAGAAACAACUUGUCAUCUACCUGUUUACCUCUAACAGAAGCUUAUACACAUAUGCAUGGGCUUGGAGAAAAUGAUAUUCACUUAAAAACAAUAUAAUAAUGACAUGUACAGAGCCAUAUAGCUCCAAAACCUUUCAAGUGCUACGUCCAUUUGUGAGGACAUAUUUAUCAGUCUAGUACUACCUUGUAACAGUACAAAAGUACAUUCACAUUAUUUUUUCUAAAGGAGCUUAGUUCCUAGAGGGAAAAAUACACUCUUCUCAAAGUUUUAUAAUAAUAAUUAACAUACCCUACAUGAUGUUUGUGAGACU
ensembl:lncRNA LINC02316 long intergenic non-protein coding RNA 2316